UUUGAAAGCCGUGUUUAUAAGUGAUCGGACAUCAUCUCCAAGGAAAAUAAGGCAUACCUUUGGUUUCUUUUCCCUGUAAAGUGAAAGUGAAAGUCGCUCAGUCGUGUCCCACUCUUUGCGACCCCAUGGACUAUACAAUCCAUGGGAUUCUCCAGGCCAGAAUACUGGAGUGGGUAGCCUUUCCCUUCUCCAGAGGAUCUUCCCAACCCAGGGACCAAACCCAGGUCUCCCACAUUGCCGGAGGAUUCUUUACCAGCUGAGCCACAAGGGAAGCCCAAGAAUACUGGAGUGGGUAUCCUAUCCCUGCUCCAGUGGAUAUUCCUGACCCAGGAAUCGAACCAGGGUCUCCAGCAUUGCAGGCAGAUUUUUUUUUUAUCAACUGAGCUAUCAAGGAAGCCUGAUCUUUUUCCUGGAGAGAGCUAUGAAUUCCUUAUUGUCUUCACUGGACCUUCAAGGUCAUACAACCACACCCAGAGAAGAGAAGCACAUCAUAGAAUUUUAGAGCAGCGAACUGGCUUCAUUUGAGAGAGGGGAAAGCAAAGACAAGCAAGACUAGAGGUUGCAGCCAGUAAGAUUCUGGGUUUUGUAGUCACAAGGACUUCUUCUCCUUUGAAUCAGGUGACUGUGGGCAGGUGACCUCAAUGGCCUCAACCACGAAUGGCAACAAUCAUAAAGAGUCAUUGCCAGAAAAGUACUGCUGUAAGGAUUAAAUGACAGAGUGUGCACAAGACACCCAGCAUGGGUCCGGUUCACAGCCAGCAGUCACUGUUGUCACCAGGUCAGGAGAGUUCCCAGGCUCAGGUGGCUAGACACUGAAAGAACGAAGGCCUGGACUAGGGCCUCCUCCCCUUCAAACCAGGGGUGUUUCGAUCACUCAUCAUACGAGGAUAGUUAGAAGGUGCCUAAGAAGUGGCAAAGAGAAUAAGAGAAUGAGAAGAUGGAGUUCCCAGAAACCAUCACAGACAAGUCACCUGGAAGCCCCGUCUGCCCCUGUCUCCAGUCAGCCCAUGACUUCACCUCAGACAAAACCAGAGGAAGGAGCCACAGGACCCCGUCACUGCACAAAAGGGCUCCGCGUGCCCAGCCAGAUCCAUCCAUUCCCCGUGGGCUUGGUUCUGACCACUUCCAGCGGCGCGUCUGCAACUUUUGGAUCGUUGCCAAGCUGAAAUGUGAGGAACGGUAUCUCAGGGUAUUAUCAUUUGCAUUUCUCUUAUUAGGAGGAAAGCUGCACAUAUUUUCAUAUGGUUAAGAGCCAUUUGCCUUUCUUUUUUAAGGGAACAGUCUGUUCAUUUCCCUAGUCCAUUUAUCUACCAAGUUAUAGGCUUUUGCUUCUCUAUUUUUAGAUGCUCUUUAUAUAUUUGACAUGUUAACCCUUUGUGAUAAAAGUCGCAAAUUUCUUCCCAUGUGUCAUUAUUUUUACAUUGCUUAGAGGUGUUUUUUUUUUAACUUGAAAAAGUGUUGUUGUUUUUUUAAUACCAUAAAAUUUAGCUAGAUUUUUACUUAAUGUUUCUGGACUUGGUUAAAUAGUUGAGACACUUUCCUUCAUCCCAGUUAUUGGAGGAAAAUACCCUUCUCUUCGAAUAUGUAUAGCCUCAUUCAUUUCACAUUUAGAUCUCUGAGCCUUUGGAAUUUAUCCUGGUGUACAAUGUGAGAAAUGGAUCCAAUUUUAUCUUUUUCCAUAUGGCUAUCCACUUAUCCCAACACCACUUAUAAUUUAUAAGUCCAUCUUUUGCCACCAAUUUGAAAUGCCAUCUUUAUUAUGUAUUAAAUUUCCAUAUGCAAUUAGGUCUAUGUCUGGAUUCUUCUAGUCAUUGAUCCAUUCAUGUGCCUAUACAAAUCUUUAAUUAUAGAGACUUUAGAACAUAUUUUUGUAUCUAGACAAGCCAGUCUUUAUUCUCAUUCCUCUUCUUUCACAAGGAUGUCUGGACUACUCCAGUUUAUUUUUCCUCCUAAAUGAUAUUUUGAAAAUUACAUUAAUUGUUUGAUUUUCAGUUAAAUGUA
rnacentral:lncRNA from 1 species